rnacentral:rRNA from 1 species
UGGGGAGUGACGUCAAAUCAUCAUGCCCUUAUGACCUGGGCUACACACGUGCUACAAUGGGCGGUACAAAGGGCUGCGAACCCGCGAGGGGGAGCGAAUCCCAAAAAAGCCGCUCUCAGUUCGGAUUGCAGGCUGCAACUCGCCUGCAUGAAGCCGGAAUCGCUAGUAAUCGCGGAUCAGCACGCCGCGGUGAAUACGUUCCCGGGCCUU